rnacentral:lncRNA from 1 species
AAGGCUCGUGUUGGAUCAAAUCAUCGGUUCAUAAUCAUCCUAAAACCUAAUAUAACUAUAUGGUCCAUAUGAGGAUGCAAUGCAUUCGUUGGUAGUUCCAUAUAGUCUCGCUUGUUUCAACGAAACAGUGGGAGUAUUAUAUGCUACUAAUUCAUAUUAACUUGGACCAAUAGUUGUGAUAGGCCCAAGUUCUUUUAAUGUGAUUAAAAUGUUUUGAUGUAGCCCAAAACUACUCCCUCAACAACCGAAUAUUAAGUUGAUAAGCGAGAGAUGCUUUGAACAUCUCUUCGUAGGCCUUCCACCGUGGUGGGCUUCAAUCGUUUGUGACUCAUACACCGUAUUCGUCCAGUUCUGGGGUAUGCAAAGUAUGUGCUUAUAUUCAGGAGAAGCCCAUAAACAUAUGAUGAAGUGAAAGUAGGCAACGAGUAUGGCCAAUAUAGAGUUCUUCUGAGGUCAGUCUUGAACCCCUACUUGAACUAGCAUGGUGGGAAUAACUUAACUAAGUGCAAUGGUGCCAAUAUGGAGUUCUUCUGAGGCAUCAUUCUCUAGAGGCCAAAAUAGAUGGGUAAUUACAAAAGUUGUAAAUGGAUAAUGCGUUAUCCUCUCAUCAUUAUUUUUGCUAGCCAAUAUGGAGUUCUUCUGAGGUGGGCUUGGUAAUGGUGAGUCUCCCAUAACCCGCUAAGAGUU